rnacentral:rRNA from 1 species
AGGACGAACGCUGGCGGCGUGCUUAAUACAUGCAAGUCUAAGGGUUUACCUACCUUCGGGUAGGUAGACACUGGCGCACGGGUGAGUAACACGUAAGUCAUCUGCCCUUGGGUCUGGCACAACUCCGGGAAACCGGGGCUAAUUCCAGAUGAUACCGAAAGGUCAAAGUUUCGACGCCCAAGGAUGAGCUUGCGUCUGAUUAGCUAGUUGGCGGGGUAAUGGCCCACCAAGGCGACGAUCAGUAGCCGGUCUGAGAGGAUGAUCGGCCACAUUGGGACUGAGACACGGCCCAGACUCCUACGGGAGGCAGCAGUAAGGAUAUUGCGCAAUGGACGAAAGUCUGACGCAGCAACGCCGCGUGCAGGAUGACGGCCCUUUGGUGUAAACUGCUGUAGCGAGGGAAUAAGAGCCCACGUCGGUGGUGUGUAACGGUACCCUAGAAAGUAGCUACCGGACUAACGUACGUGCCAGCACGCCGAC